rnacentral:rRNA from 1 species
CCUACGGGAGGCAGCAGUGGGGAAUUUUGGACAAUGGGCGAAAGCCUGAUCCAGCCAUGCCGCGUGUGUGAAGAAGGCCUUCGGGUUGUAAAGCACUUUCGGACGGAACGAAAUCGCGCGGGUGAACAUCCCGCGUGGAUGACGGUACCGUAAGAAGAAGCACCGGCUAACUACGUGCCAGCAGCCGCGGUAAUACGUAGGGUGCGAGCGUUAAUCGGAAUUACUGGGCGUAAAGCGUGCGUAGGUGGUGGUUUAAGUCCGUUGUGAAAGCCCUGGGCUCAACCUGGGAAUUGCAGUGGAUACUGGAUCACUAGAGUGUGGUAGAGGGAUGCGGAAUUUCCGGUGUAGCAGUGAAAUGCGUAGAGAUCGGAAGGAACAUCUGUGGCGAAGGCGGCAUCCUGGGCCAACACUGACACUGAGGCACGAAAGCGUGGGGAGCAAACAGGAUUAGAUACCCUGGUAGUCCACGCCCUAAACGAUGCGAACUGGAUGUUGGGUGCAACUUGGCACCCAGUAUCGAAGCUAACGCGUUAAGUUCGCCGCCUGGGGAGUACGGUCGCAAGACUGAAACUCAAAGGAAUUGACGG